GAUGAACGCUGGCGGUCUGCUUAACACAUGCAAGUCGAACGGGCUCUUUCGGGAGCUAGUGGCGGACGGGUGAGUAACGCGUGAGAAUCGGCGCUUUGGAGGGGGAUAACGGUUGGAAACGACCGCUAAUACCCCAUGUGCCGAGAGGAAAAAAGUAAUUCGCCAAGGGAAGAGCUCGCGUCGGAGUAGCUAGUUGGCGGGGUAAGAGCCCAGCCAGGCGACGAACCGUAGCGGGUCUCAGAGGAUGAACAGCCACACUGGGACUGAGACACGGUCCAGACUCCUACGGGAGGCAGCAGCGGGGAACAUUCGGCAAGGGGCGGAGGCCUGAUCCAGCCAUGCCGCGCGGGUGAAGAAGGCCUUCGGGUUGUAAAGCCCUUUUGUUGGGAAAGAAAAGCACCAUGUUAACACCCCGCUGGUCAGACGGUUCCCAAAGAAUAAGCACCGGCUAAACUCGUG
rnacentral:rRNA from 1 species